AGUUUAGACAAAGGAGAUGAUGAACGCGCUCACUUGGCCUUUCCACGUAGUGUGUAUUUCUGAAUCCUUCUUAGUGAUGAAAGGUCCUCUCAGCUCACUGAAUCUCUCUUGUUUUGGCUCAGUGAGACAAAAGCCAAAGCUGUGCGAUCCCUUUUAUGAGACAAAGCAUUUGAAGCAGUCCACAGAUCAGUCAUGCGUGGCGUCCUGUUAGUGAGGCACGUUUGGCCGCAUCUUCCACGGCGUGCUGCUGGAUGAAAAGGACUCCAGUAAAGAAAAACAGGUCUUUGUAAAGACAGUGAAAGAUCAUGCAUCUGAAGUGCAGGUGACCAUGAUGUUGACUGAAAGUUGCAAGCUUCGUGGACUUCAUCACAGGUGA